AUGUUAAGAGGGCAUCUUCUGAUCAACUAUUUGUACCUUUCCCAAACUUCAUAGUGGGACUCUCCAUUUUUCUGUCUGAAAGUCUAGACUUCCACCCUAAGCUU